ACACUCUCAUAUUCACCAAAAAUUUUGUGCGCAUGCGAUAUUGGCCUGUUUUAGAGUAGUCUUCAUCUAUUUCUGCACUGUUAUUUCCUAAUCAAAUAUCCUAUUCAUCUAGUAUUAACUCGCACUUAUUACAUAUUUGGUAUGUCAAUAUAUAUGUGCACAUGAAUCUAGGCUUGUGCCAAAUUCUCUAUUCAUUUUUUGAAAAUGCAACAAGAAAAUAAAGUUACUGCAUUUUCUACUAUCAAAUUGUUGAAGCAAUUCAUCCUAAGUUGAUUUCCUACCUUGGAGCUUGAAAUUUUAGGCAGUUCCAAUUAUAUCAGCAGCAUAUCUUAUAAUAUGGUACAUGCAAAGAUUUAUGAAUUUGGAUAUUUUCUGUUGUAUCAGUUACAUGGGUGUAUAAGCCCCUAGACUUAUCCUACUACUAAGGCCGUGUCAUGCAGAAGCAUAAUACGCUGUGAUGUAAACCAUGUUUCCGCAGAUGAUUUUUAGUAGACAAUCUAAAAUCUUAUUGUGAGAUAUCCAUUAUCUAGAUUAAAUGCUUUUAGAUUCCAGACUACUAUUUGGCGACAAUUUGUCCAAUUGGUUUAUUUUAUGCUACAAAAAGUGGCUUAUAGUUGAUUUGUUCGCGAGAGAUAGGCUAUAUGUCAGUCAAAGGUGACUGUCAUUGGUAUACCUUUAUCCAACCUUGGUUAACUUCUGAAUUUACUUAAUUCUUUUUUCUUGUAGAAGCAAAGACAUGGUCUAACCGUUUUUUUUGCAGGCUGGAGUCCAAAUUGUAGAUCCUGUGGUCGAUGUGUUCAAUGGACAAGAGAUGCCUUUGAAAGCGACAGAGAGGGAUGUUUAUGAAUUCUUCUCGAAAGCAGGGAAGGUUUAGCUUCUUGUAUUGACAUUACACAUCCAUCUGAGAAGAGUGUUCUGAUAUUUACAUGUAUCAUGCAACCACAGUAAAUGCUUCUGUGCCUUAAAUGAGGCCUAUUAUAAUGACUUUUUUGUGGCUCAACAUUCUUUUAUUUGGUUAGAGACGUGCGGCUGAUCAUGGAUCGGAACUCGAGACGAUCGAUCAAAAGGAGUUGGGAUAUGAAAUAUGAGCAGGAGCAACAACAACAUCAACAAUAACAAAUGAUGUCUCACUUAGAGUCACAAGUGAAAGCUAUGCAGGAGAUUUUUUUAGGCAGCCAUCUUCAUUGACUCCACAAACUCGAGAACAUGUGCAGGACUAAGUUAUCCAUGCAGGAUUAGGAGAGGGGUAGCUCGAGUCUUCUUUUGACGAUGAUUAGAGAUGAAAGAAUG